ensembl:misc_RNA Metazoa_SRP Metazoan signal recognition particle RNA
GCCGGGCGCGGUGGCAAGUGCCUGUAGUCCCACCUACUCAGGAGACUGAGAUGGGAGGAUCGCUUGAGCCCAGGAGUUCUCGGCUGUAGUACGCUAUGCUGAUCAGGUGUCUGCACUAAGUUUGGCAUCAAUAUGGUGACCUCCCGGGAGCGGCGGACCACCAGGUUGCCUAAGGAGGGGUGAACUGGUCCAGUUUGGGAAUGGAGCAGGUCAAAACUCCUGUGCUGAUCAGUAGUAGGAUUGCGCCUGUGAAUAGCCACUGCACUCCAGCCUGGGCAACAUAGCGAGACCUCGUCUCUU